GGCUUCGUGACCCUUCUGCAGUCUGGAGAGACGUUGCGCUUUAUACUUCAGCUUCAGCACUUUCCCCCUCCACUCUUCCUGCGAUGUCCGUCAUGGCUGCAGGUGUGCACAGGUUGGUAAAAACAGCAUUACUACUGCUGUCAGUCUUGUUGCUAUCUGAAGCUCUACCAGCCCGCUGGCUGCCAGGAAUCUCUGCAAACACCAAAUCACAUGCACUGAGGUUCCUCAGUGAUUACAACAGUACUGCAGAGGAGGUGGUCUUCAACAGCGUGUCUGCCAGCUGGAACUACAACACCAACCUGACAGACCACAACUCCAGGCUGCUGGUACUUUAUUAGCAACAUCCUGAAGUUCCAGGUUUAUGAGAAACUCUGUGACGCAGCCAAUCAGACCAGCCCUCUGCACACAUGUGACAUCUACCAUUCUGUAGAAGCUGGAGCCAUUUUGAAGAAAAUUCUCGAAGCAGGUUCUUCAUAGCCUUGGCCUGACGUGCUCGAGGAGGCCAUAGGUACGCGUGAAAUAAAUGGCAACUCUUUAUUAAGAUACUUUGACCCCAUAAUAAAGUGGCUGGAAGAGCAAAACGUGAAUGAGACCCUUGGAUGGGCUGAAUUCAACUGGGUUCCACCUAUCCCCGAGGGUUACCCUGAGGAUAUUCAUGCAGAAUUAAAAGCCUCGACUGUAUAGAAAGAACUGCAUGUUGGAGGCUGGGGCAUUCAGAAGGCAUCGCUGGAAACCAGACUGCUUCCAUUUUGGCUGCGGUGUUACAGUUGUCAUCUUCUGGUUUUAAUGCAUGAUUCUAAUAAAAGCAGUUCUAAAUUGUC